CUCCUUUGCAUAAGGCAUGAAUUCCUGGUAGCUCCACCCUGUCCUCCUAAUGUGCACGCGGGCCCUUAGCUUGAGUUACUCCAUAUUGCUUUGCUCCCCUUACUGCACAUGUGUCAGGAGAUGGAAUUUUCCACUGAAGAAUUCAACCGAGGACCCACCCUAACUGCCUGCCUGACUGGUUCCUUUUUCUCCUCUCUCACUGACACAGGCUACAACAUGGAUGAACCUCAAAAACGAUGCAGAGUAAAAGCAGCCAGACAUAAAAGGCCACAUAGUGCCUGACUCCAUUCAUGUGAAAUAUCCAAAAUAGGUAAAUCCAUAGAGACAGAAAGCAAAUUGGUGGUUGCCAUGGGCUGGGAAGAGGGGGGAUGGGGAGUGACUGCUCAAUGGAUAUGGGGUUUCCCUUUGGGGUGAUGAAAAUGUUCUGGAACUAGGUACAGGUGGUGGUUACAACAUUGUGACUGUCCUAAAUGUCAUUGAAUUGUCCACUUUAAAAUGGUUAGUUUUAUGUGAUGU
rnacentral:lncRNA from 1 species